CAUAUUACAACGUCAUGUAAUAACCGUUAAACUCUGGAAAGACAAAUAUUCUGUCCUAAUCUCAAUGAGAAUCUUCUUUUUAGUAGAGACGUGAAGAAAAGGGAUUUAAAGUCGUAUAAGUAUGUUGUUACCUAUGUUUGGCAUGUGAAAGUAAUGGAACAGAGCAUAUUCCAGUCUUUCACCAAAUUGGAUACCUUUAAGCCACUUCAAUCCUGAAAAAUAAUGUGAAUGGUGUCUCUA